rnacentral:rRNA from 1 species
AUUGAACGCUGGCGGCACGCUUAACACACGCAAGUCGAGCGGCAGCAUGAUUAGUAGCAAUACUAAUUGAUGGCGAGCGGCGGACGGGUGAGAAAAACGUAGGAACCUGCCCUUUAGAUCGGGACAACUGGUGGAAACGCUAGCUAAUACCGAAUGCACUCGGAAGAGGAAAGCUGCCCGUAAGGGUGGCACUAGAGGAGGGGCCUGCGUCCGAUUAGCUAGUUGGUAAGGUAAAGGCUUACCAAGGCGAUGAGCGGUAGCUGGUCUGAGAGGACGACCAGCCACACUGGGACUGAGACACGGCCCAGACUCCUACGGGAGGCAGCAGUGGGGAAUCUUGGACAAUGGGGGCAACCCUGAUCCAGCGAUGCCGCGUGGGUGAAGAAGGCCUUCGGGUUGUAAAGCCCUUUAGGUUGGGAAGAAGUUUGCGUGGUGAUAAGCCAUGUAGAUUGACGGUACCAACAGAAUAAGCACCGGCAAACUCUGUGCCAGCAGCCGCCGUAA